rnacentral:rRNA from 1 species
UAAGUAGGUAGUAAAGCCUGGGGCUCAACCCCUUAAAUAUUAUCUAAACUGCUAAGCUAGAAUAUAGAAGAGGUAGCUGGAAUUCCUAGUGUAGGAGUGAAAUCCGUAGAUAUUAGGAGGAACACCGAUGGCGUAGGCAGGCUACUGGUCUAUUAUUGACGCUAAGGCACGAAAGCGUGGGUAGCAAACGGGAUUAGAUACCCCGGUAGUCCACGCCGUAAACUAUGGAUGCUA